CCGUGGUCAGCCUGACGGCGUCCACGGUGCCCCGAGCCGGCGGCGUCCAUGGGCAAAAUAGGGAGAUCCCCCUUCGGCUCUUCUUCUCCGGUCAUCUUCGACCGAAAAUCAAACCGGUUCCACCCAUAGGAACCGGAUUUACUGCAGCCGAGGGCUCUUCCCAUGGAUCGGCCGGUACGUUUGCAUUUUAGGUUUACUAGAUUUAGGGUUUGAUUAACAAGGGAAGAAGAUCUGUGCUUGAAUGGAGGGAGGAGAUCUACAGCAUGAGCCGGCCGUAA
rnacentral:lncRNA from 1 species